GACGAACGCUGGCGGCGUGCUUAACACAUGCAAGUCGAACGAUGAAGCCGGAGCUUGCUCUGGUGAAUUAGUGGCGAACGGGUGAGUAACACGUUAGUAACCUGCCCUUGACUCUGGGAUAACUGCGGGAAACUGUAGCUAAUACCGGAUACGACCCUCGGAGGCAUCUCCUGGGGGUGGAAAGAAUUUCGGUCCAGGAUGGACUCGCGGCCUAUGAGCUAGUUGGUGAGGUAAAGGCUCACCAAGGCGACGACGGGUAGCCGGCCUGAGAGGGUGACCGGCCACACUGGGACUGAGACACGGCCCAGACUCCUACGGGAGGCAGCAGUGGGGAAUAUUGCACAAUGGGCGCAAGCCUGAUGCAGCAACGCCGCGUGAGGGAUGACGGCCUUCGGGUUGUAAACCUCUUUUAGCAGGGAAGAAGCGAAAGUGACGGUACCUGCAGAAAAAGCACCGGCUAACUACGUGCCAGCCGCCGCUGUAA
rnacentral:rRNA from 1 species